rnacentral:rRNA from 1 species
ACGCUCGACACCUACGAGAGGCAGCAGUAGGGAAUCUUCCACAAUGGGCGCAAGCCUGAUGGAGCAACACCGCGUGAGUGAAGAAGGGUUUCGGCUCGUAAAGCUCUGUUGUUGGAGAAGAACGUGCGUGAGAGUAACUGUUCACGCAGUGACGGUAUCCAACCAGAAAGUCACGGCUAACUACGUGCCAGUAGCCGCCGGUAAGUACUGAGCGGGCGUGGCGAAGGACG